AUACGGCCAUAUAACGCUAAAACAACCGUUACCAUCCGAUCCCCGAAGUUAAGCAACGUAGAGCUUGGUCAAUAUCUAGAUGGGCGGCCGCUUGAGAAUACCUGGU